UGAAUCAGAAUCAGCAGGGUGCAGGCCAGAAACCGGUGUUUCAAAAACUCUCUGGGUGAUUCUGAUGCACUGUAGUGUUUGAGAAGAACUACUUUAAAGUUUGCAGUUACUCCCAUGUACAUUGUAAGAGUUUUACCUCCAUCUUAUGAAGUAGAGAUGUUUUGACCCAUUCUACAACGGAAUAAGAGAAGGCACAGAGAAUAUAAGAUACUCUCAUCCUACAACCAGUAGACUCCUCCUGAGGGGUAUGAAGAUUAUGUUCUAACUGGAGAAGGUGUCGAGUCCCUUUGCUGUCACUUUCCUGUUGAUUUUAUUUCGGUAAAUCUUCCUAGUCCAAGGAAGAAAGCUUUGAUCACUUGAAAUCCUGAAAGAGACUAAAAACGACACUGAAAUUGCCUUUGUGUGGAGAUAAUAAAUAUAAUUGGCCCAGUCAUGAAGAGUGUGCCUGUGAUAUUGGAGCAGCUGGUUAGCUAUGAUGGGAUCCAGCUGUCCCUGACACCCCACUUUAUGAAUCAACUGGAAAAGGAAAUGAGAGAGACAAGAGAGGCCAUGGAGUCAAAAGGUUCCACACAAAAGGGAGACCAUACAGUAUUUGUCUUUAUCUGGCUUAUUUCACUUAGCAUAGGCCUCCUCAUGUUGUUGCAAACGGAGAGGAAGAAGUGUUUGUCAGAAGGAGCCUCUGGCAAACUGGAGACUGUUGGAAUCUUGUUCAUGUCUUACAACUUGUAGAUGCAUCAGCAGGUCUAAAAUUCUUACAACUGCUUCUAAAGUAGCUGGAGGGAGAUGCCAAUUAAGUUUAAAUAAAACGUUUGUCUUCUAAUAAGAAAUCUACUACCAUGUCAAAUAGCAACUGGAAGAGCCUAAGAUGGCUAUAACCAGGACAAUGAGCGUCCUGGACCCAACUUGCUGGGUUAGAAGUGUUCUUGGAGGCUGCUUUUUACUGGUUGAACAAAGAGACUAAUGCAAAAACUUGAAACAGGUCUCCCUGUGGAAAAGACUUCCAGUUGAAUAACUGACUAUUUUUCUUGCCAAGUUAACAUUACAAGAGAAGAGAUUCAACUUGGAGACCAACAAGGCAGGUUUCAAUUCUUUGUUCUAUGUUUACAUUUUCAAAUUUUUAAAAAGGUUAAGUGCA
rnacentral:lncRNA from 1 species